rnacentral:rRNA from 1 species
GACGUAGGGCGCAAGCGUUGUCCGGAUUUAUUGGGCGUAAAGAGCUCGUAGGCGGCUUGUUGCGUCGUCCGUGAAAACCCGCAGCUCAACUGCGGGCUUGCGGACGAUACGGGCAGGCUGGAGUUCGGUAGGGGAGACUGGAAUUCCUGGUGUAGCGGUGGAAUGCGCAGAUAUCAGGAGGAACACCGAUGGCGAAGGCAGGUCUCUGGGCCACUACUGACGCUGAGAAGCGAAAGCAUGGGGAGCGAACAGG